AAAGCACCAGCCCAGGUUCAUUAUUCUAAACUAAUCCUAAAAGAUAUCUAAGAUAUGAUAAGUUGUUUUCUUAUAUAUUCUAACAAUGUUUUUUGUUUAUUAGAUGCCUAGGUGGAGGGACUAAAUUAAAGUGAGUAGAAAUUUCAGGGACUAAGGUGAAAACAAAAGAAAUGUCGAGGGCUAAAGCAUGACUUAGAAGUGAAUGGAGGAAAGGGUCUCAUUGUGGUCCCAGAACAAAGUAUGUUUAUCACCGACCAUGACAUGAACAUGCCAACUACAGUUCUAUCAUCAGCUGAUAUAAGAGCAUCACUGUAGUUUCUUCAUUAUUUGCCUAGUCAAUUAUUCUCUCUAGCAAGUGGAAGAGGGUCUAUUUGUGUAUGGAAAGAAUUCAUUUUUGACUUUGUUUUUAUUUUAAAUUUUGAAUAAUUGAUAAGUUUCUCUGUAAGUAAAAUAGUACGAUGUUAUAUUUUUUUCCUCUGUAGUUUGAUGAGUUGUGAAUAUAGUUCAAGGUGAUUUUGAUCUCAGUU